rnacentral:rRNA from 1 species
GAGCGGUAGAUUGCUUUCGGGCAAUUGAGAGCGGCGCACGGGUGCGGAACACGUGUGCAACCUGCCUUUAUCUGGGGGAUAGCCUUUCGAAAGGAAGAUUAAUAUCCCAUAAUAUAUUGAUUGGCAUCAAUUAAUAUUGAAAGCUCCGGCGGAUAGAGAUGGGCACGCGCAAGAUUAGAUAGUUGGUGAGGUAACGGCUCACCAAGUCAAUGAUCUUUAGGGGGCCUGAGAGGGUGAUCCCCCACACUGGUACUGAGACACGGACCAGACUCCUACGGGAGGCAGCAGUGAGGAAUAUUGGACAAUGGGUGAGGGCCUGAUCCAGCCAUCCCGCGUGAAGGACGACGGCCCUAUGGGUUGUAAACUUCUUUUGUACAGGGAUAAACCUACCCUCGUGAGGGUAGCUGAAGGUACUGUACGAAUAAGCACCGGCUAACUCCGUG